UUCCACGAAACGACCUCAUGGGAGGUAGUAUCCGCCAUUUGUACCCGCCAAAAAAAAGUUUCCAGAGAGGGGAAAGACGCGAGAGGUUCUCGCGUGUAUCAAAUGAAACACGCGUUUCGUUCAUGCGUGUUUUAACUAAACACGCGAGAGGAAUUAGCGUGUUUUAAAUUAUACACGCGAGAGGCAUUAGCGUGUAUCACUUGAUACACGCGAGAGCAAUUCGCGUGUUUCACUUGAUACACGCGAGAGCAAUUCGCGUGUUUCACUUGAAUAACGCGAGAGCAAUUACGAGGCAGAAGCCCCUCUUCCUCACUCCCAGCAUUCUGCCUCUUCCUCACUCCCAGGCGCGACCUCUCUCUGCACCACCAUAAGCUGCGAAAUCCUCAUCUACCCGACGAAAAUCGAAGUGAAUCCGACAUAUAGCUGCUCCCAUUCAUCUUUUAACUCUCAUUAGGUUUGAUGGCGUUUGUGAGUUUAUAUUGGGAUGGGAAAAUUACUCAGCUCCCAGGUUUGGGUGUUGCUUAUGAGCCCCCUCGUGCAAACUCAUUUAUUAUAUUGAGUGAAAAUAUAUCUUAUUAUCAGCUAGUUUCAAUGAUAUGUGAAAAAAUUGGAAUUGAUUUAGAGGCACAUACGAUUGAUUUAACAUGGAGGCAUCCUGUAGUUUUUA